rnacentral:lncRNA from 1 species
AUGAGGCAGCCAAGCCCCGGGCCUGUUUGCAGGAGCAGCGCAGGGGCCUGGGCCCUGGGCACCAGCCCGGCUGGACCCCAGGGACAGAUGCUGGGCCUGGGAGCUUGGAAAUCAGGGCCUUGGGCCCCGCAGGUCCAGGCCAGCAGGAAAGCCUCGCCUCGCCCCGGGGACGGGCUCACGGGGACAGCAGAGGCCCCCACGGGGGCUGGCCAGAGUGGCUGGGCCCCGGGGGCGUGGGGCUCACAGUGCCUGGGCAGAGUGGGACAGAGGUGUGGGCAGUGGGGCACAGGAAGCGGGCUGGGCCUUGGAAUUUCCUCGUGUGAAGUGAUUCCCAGAGACCCGCUGGCCUGCAGGGAAGGGCCCAGCUGGCGCUGCUGGAGCCGGAGCCAGGACGUGGGUCUGGGACAGGUGUGGCCUGGGGAGGCCCCUCCGUCCUGGGCCACGUCCCAGUUUCCAGGGCUCCAGGCCAGCCGAAGUGAGGAGCCACCCCUUCCCCCAGCCUGUACACAUGUGGGGCCGGUGCCAGCUCACGCCACCAGCGGCAGCGUUGCCCGGGCACCCAGCCUGGUACACUGCGCCAGUCACCAUGGCAGCAUGCCGUGCGCUGGCAGGAGCCCAGGCUGGGCUGCAGAGGCCAAGGCCAGUGGUCUGGAUAUGUGGGACCAGGAGUCCGGUCCCUGUGGCCACCCCCACCAGGGGCCUGACGGGAGGGGGGAGCCCCGUGGGUGGCCAGGCCUGCCCAUUCCCCCCAUCCCAGGGAGGGGGCAGUUUCCCGAGAGCUCCAGAGUGGGUGCCAGGGGGCUGGGGGCUUCCUGGCGGCAGCUGACCUCACGCGGAGGCCCUGGAGGCCGCGCGUCUGCCCCACCUUGUCUGCUGGAGCUGUGGGGAGCUGAAGCCACCCCCACCUUAGAGGCCCAGCUCCUGCUGACAUCUGCAGCCGGCCGCUCCCUGACCUGGGGAUCCGGGGGUGCCACUCGCACGAUGACAUCACAGUGCCCAAGAGGGAAAGGCAUCUCUCCUCAUGUCACACAUUUAAGUUGGCGCAUCAGGCAGCCCGACACCCGUGCUCAGGCCUUGUCCCGUGGUGGCAGAUGA